GACAGAGGGGGCAAGCGUUGCUCGGAAUCACUGGGCGUAAAGGGCGCGUAGGCGGGAUGGCAAGUCAGUCGUGAAAUCUCUCGGCUCAACCGAGAAACGUCGGCUGAUACUGCCGUUCUUGAGGGAUGCAGAGGAGACUGGAAUUCUCGGUGUAGCGGUGAAAUGUGUAGAGAUCGGGAGGAACACCGGUGGCGAAGGCGGGUCUCUGGGCAUCUCCUGACGCUGAGGCGCGAAAGCGUGGGGAGCAAACGGG
rnacentral:rRNA from 1 species